rnacentral:rRNA from 1 species
GACGAACGCUGGCGGCGUGCUUAACACAUGCAAGUCGAACGGAAAGGCCUGCUUUCCCUUGUGGAUUGCGGGUACUCGAGUGGCGAACGGGUGAGUAACACGUGAGUGAUCUGCCCCCAACUUGGGUAUAAGCCUGGGAAACUGGGUCUAAUUCCCGAUAGGACUGCAGGGUGGUGCCUGUGGUGGAAAACGAUUUUCUAGUGGUUGGGGAUGAGCUCGCGGCCUAUCAGCUUGUUGGUGGGGUAAUGGCCUACCAAGGCGGCGACGGGUAGCCGGCAUGAGAGGGUGGACGGCCAGAUUGGAACUGAGAUACGGCCCAGACUCCUACGGGAGGCAGCAGUGGGGAAUAUUGCACAAUGGGCGGAAGCCUGAUGCAGCGACGCCGCGUGGGGGAUGACGGCCUUCGGGUUGUAAACUCCUUUCGACAGCGAGGAAGCCACCUGGUUGGAAGGGUGGUGACGGUAGUGGUAGAAGAAGCACCGGCUAACUACGUG